ACUCUGAAUCUUAUAAGCGCUGGGCAUUGGCAGCGAAAUUUCACGGCCCCACUCGUCAGUGGUUGCUGGAUAGAGCGUUGUCGUGCCGUUGCUUGAACCGCGAAGCAGCCGGCUGACGGCUGAACUCGCCGGCGCCGGUCCCGCCUGGCAACGAGGAGAUGGCGCUCAUCGGCGCCACGCUCGUUGCCGCUGCAGCGGGAGCCCGCCCCUUCCUCUCCUCAGCCGCUCGCCGCUCUCCUGCGCGGCCUACUCGGCCGCCGGUCCCGCCGGCGGCGGCGGCAUUGAAGACUCCCCUCUGUCGCGGAGGUCGUUUCUCGCCCGGUUCCCCGAGCGUCGCGCGCUCGCCGUUACCGACAUCACCGCCACGGUAACGUCGUCGCCCGAAGCUCGCGCCUUCUCGCGGCAGGAAUGAUGCGAGAAACAGAUGGAGGUGGUGUGGAGCCGGAACCAGCGGCGCGGGCGUGGCCGAGGCCCGAGAGAGCCACCGCCAGAGGCUCGUAUCUGAUGCGCUCUGUCGACGGAUGGAUCCGCCGGUUGCAUCGCAACAGCCGCUGGUGGCAGCGCGGCCUUGUCGGCCGCCGUCUCGCCGUCCUGGAGAAUAGGUUUUCGGAAAAAUACCGGACCAAAUGUUUUUCAAUAACGCCCCUAAUUUGGAUCGCGAUAGGUUAAUCGCGAUCCUAUAUUUUGUAUAAAGGCCCCUGGGUAUUUACAAAUAAGCACUCUGUCGUCGUCGUAUGGGCAGCUCCACCCUCCGCUCCCGCCUGGCAACGAGGGGAUGGCGCUCAUCAGCGGCGCACUCGUUGCCGCUGCAGCGGGAGCCCGCCCCCUCCUCUCCUCAGCCGCCCGCCGCGCCGCCGCCCCGCUCUCCUGCGCGGCCUACUGGGCCACCAGUCCCGGCGGCAACGGCAUUGAGGACUCCCCUCUGCCGCGGAGCUCGCAUCUCGCCCGUUUCCGGGAGCGCCGCGCGCUCGCCGUCACCGACAUCACCGCCACGGAAUGGUGCGAGAAACAGAUGGAGUUCGUGCUCGAGCACGGCAAGCCGGAGAGGACCGAUGCCAUGAAGGCAGGUUCGGACCGCCAUGCGCAGCUCGAGGAUGAGGUUGUUCGAAGAGUGGAUGUCGCCAUUAGAUCUGCGGAAGAGUUAUGGGCGGUAAGAUUCAUGAACUUCAUCGUGGGAACAAACCAGUUAUUGUUUGAGGACAUCACACGGGAAAUUCCAGUGUUUGGAGUUGUUGAAGGUUCAUGGGUGAUAGGGAUUAUUGAUGAAAUCCAACUGCCCAAGAAUGGCAUUUCAUUUCAACCCAUCCUGGUGGAUACAAAGACACGCCGCAGGCAAAAAAGUCCCUCAGAAGCACAAAAAAGAAAUGGAAGGCUCCAGCUGAUGUGUUAUAAGUAUCUAUGGGACAAUUUGAUUGCCGAGAAAUUUCCAACAGAGAAUUUCUUUAGCUACUUUGACCUGGACCCCAACUACUUGUUAUCGAAUCAUGUCAAGUGGUACAUUAAUUCCUUGGGAUUCAAUGCAAAGACCUUUGAAGAUGUAUUGAAAUAUUUCAAGAUUACCUGCCAUACUCUACAGUGGUUGCAGUCUCAAGAACAGCUGCUCUUGAGGUAAAUAUGAGUUACAGGUUUGCCGCCUAAACAUCAACAACCUGCUGUACAGACUACUGAAUGAUAUGAACUACAGGCAGAUGAUUCCCUACUUGAAGAAUACAAGUUCACUUAUGAUGCUAGGUGGUUCAAGGAUCAAAUCCAGGAAGUCCUCAG